AAAUUGGCUGUAAUUGGGCCUGAGGUUACAAAUCCCCCUUUUUGUUUUUAAUUCCUCAAUCUUGAGGGACAUAGGGUGAUGACUGCUCUAGCUUCUUCC